GUUACUCCUGAUUUACACCAACAUAAACAAGACCAGAAUCAAAGCCAUGCGGGAGCCCUAAGGGUAUGCUUAGAAUGGGAAGAAAAGGAAAGAACUCCACGCUAGACAAACUCACCAGCCCAGGGGGAUUCCUGGUUUGAACUGCUUGCUGUAUGACAAUCACCAGUCCUCUGGCAAAACUGCAGCAUGCAAUGCUGUUGGUGAAACUCCAUUUGCAAGCUACCCAGGAGCUGCAGAACUUGCAAAGCAAUCACAGCACACCCGAGUAUGAGGAACAUGGCUGGACUAUGAGGAUGGCUUCAAAGAACAGUCAGUGCCAUGUGGAGAGAAGGUGCUGAGGAGCUGUGUAGAACAACAAAUUCAAAUGGAAAAUGAUUGCAAGGAGGCUUAAAGCCCACAGAGACCUAGCUGCUUCCAAAAGACUGAAAAAAAACUUUAAUAGGAAGAACCAGAGAACUGAAUGAGGCACUACUGGAACAGCUCAAUGCUUGACAGGAAAGCAAAAUGGAUCCAUACUGUGGAGUCAAUAAGAAGCACAGAAGAGCACCUCUGGGGAAAGAUUCAGAGAAUAAGAUGAUUAGAACCAUACCUUGGGGAGUUAAAGGGAGAAAUCCCCAAAUGCCUGGAGAACAAGCUGUUCCCGUCGUGAAGUACCUUAACAUCAAAGUGUGGAUGGGAAGCUCCACAGAGCUUUAGCAGAAUCUUAGAGAGACAGAAGUAGUGCUUUCUGAUAAACAAAUCACAAAACCAAAUAUAUCUACAACAGAAGUUACUGAAGUCCAACCAGUAUAUGACAGCAGACUCUUGAGAAGAACCAGAAGGGAAACCAGCUACAUAUUUUUGGUACAAAUCUACAGGAAAUGUAAGAACUAGCAACAGCUUGAUUACAGCAGUGCUAAGAAGAAAGAUCCAUCUACAGUGCAAGAUCCUCUGAAGGAGCAGCUCACUAAAAAUGCUGCAGUAACUUACUAGCAAUGCUGGAAUAAAAUUAAAAGAACAUUGACAGCCCCAGAGACUGUUUAAAUGGUGUCAGAUGGAAAUCUCUUGUUAAAGAUAAAUACUUGCCACACUGAGUUUAAUAAGUCUAACUCAGUAGAGUUAUCAAUGACAUCAAGAAACAGCUCAGUUCCUUACAUAAUAUAUUAUCAAGGCAACAACAAUAAGCUUAGGAAACUGCAG
ensembl:lncRNA